AUGGCGCCACCGCGGAACCAUCCCGGCCUGUUCCUCUGCUUCCUUUUGCUCGCGUCCACCGCCACGCUCUCCGCCGCGGUCUCCGCCGCGUCCUACUCCUCCGUUUGCACCAAGCCCGGACCCGCUGACGACCGCUACACCGACGGCAACGAAACCCUCUUACUCACCAGCUUCUUCCAAAUCUCCACCGGUUACUUCUCCUUCUCCGAGGGCGCGCACAGCUUGUUCUCCGCCGCCGCCGAUGAUGACCCCUACGGCAGCUAUCGCUCGUUUUCCCUUUUCCCCCACGGCGUCUACCGCACCAGCGACAAGGAUCUCGUGCACCUCACUGCCACUCUCACCCUCACCGCCCCCCGCGUCCACACCUACCGGGGCCGUGGACGCCGCGAGAAUUACACCGGCUCCGCGUCCGUCUCCUUCAUCCUCGACGGCUUCUACUCCUCCGCCUCACUCGAACUCUGCAUGGUCGGGAAGGGCACCGAGCACUCCGUCGACGGCUCUCCCAAGCACUACCCCGACGUCGUCCUCCGCCUCCGCGUCCCCGAUCGUCCCUCCCUCACCGAUCCCUUCGUGACCGGCAGUCUAGAGGUCUCCGACUUCGGGGCCAUCCAGCUCCUCGCUUACGCCGAGGGCGACAACUACAAGUACGCCUCCGAGGGCGCGGCCUGCAGCGCACCGACGCCGACGCAGCCUGCCAGGGACUCGUACCAGGCGCUCGGCAGCGGCUUCGCCUGGUGCGCCCAUCUGAAACAACAGCUCGUGACCGCGUACAGGCUGGAGCACGGCGGCGAACCGCUUCUGCGGCGGAUGCACGUCAACCAGAUGCAGUGCACCGCGAAGGGUGCCGUGCGCGCGUACGUGGUGUUCUCCAACGACACUGGGUCGACCGAGAGGCACCGAUUCUUCAACCACCGUCCACACCGCUUCUCGGUGGACGAGGAGGCUGUCGUGGCCGAGGGGCGCUGGGACAAGGUUCGGGGCUCGCUCUGCCUCAGGGCGUGCCCGGUGGUGCGCUCGGCCUCGGCGCCCUCUGUCCCGGCGGUGCGAGAGCAUGAGUGCGGGAUCGGGAUGAGCUUCUGGUUCCCGGCCGUGUGGACGAUGCGGGACCGGAGCGUCGUGGCCGGGAUGCUUUGGAACUCGACCCAGACUGGUAUUGGCAGCAACGACGGCGUGACAACAGCGUCGAGCAUCGACGUCGUCGACGACGGAUUCAUCGACCUCACUGACGACCACAGAAGCAGCAACCUCUCAGAUGUGAAGUACAGCUACAACGACACGAUGCUUGCCGAGGCGACGAAGCAUUACUACCUCAAAUUCAAGAAGGAGAAGAUCAAGGGGGCGCGCUCAUUCCCGGGGAACUAUACUUACCGUGACUUCGAAUUUCGUUUCUUCGCGCUGAGCAGGGGGGGCGGAAAGGCCAACCCAGUCACAAUCGGUUCGGUGAUGGUCUCCGGGGAUCGGCUGGCUGCCGACGAUUCCUUCUCCCAUGGUGUGGUACUUGACACGAAGCAAAAUCUGCUGAAUGUCAGCUACGAUAUAGGCUAUUAUGCUCCAGCUGAUGAUUGGGUGCGUCCUACGAAUGGGUCGUACUCGUUCUCAUAUAGCCCUGAGACACGGCGACGAAUCUCAGCAGAGGGUGUUUAUGAUCCUGAGAGCGGCAUACUGUGCAUGGUCGGUUGCCGAGAGCACAACGGCUCGACCGACUGUCAAACACUGGUAACCGUGAAGUUCGCCUCCCUUGAUGCCAGGGGUCAGGGGCACGGCAGGGGGGUAAUCAGCAGCCUCAGAGACAAGUCCGAUCGUCUUUUCUUCAAGAAGGUCGACAUCACUCUGUACGGGAUGUACUCAGACCAAGUGUCGGAGGCGAUAUCUAGGAUGGACUUGGAAGGCAUCAUGCUGGUGGCGUCCACGACGCUGUCGUGCGUCUUCACCGUCCUGCAGAUCCUCCGUACCAAGAAGAACCCCGAGGCGGCUCCGGCGACGUCGAUCACCAUGCUCGCCAUCCUCACGCUGGGAUACCUCACUCCUCUCGUGCUCAACUUCGACGCCCUGUUCACGAGCAGGAGGAGCCGGUACUCCGUGUACUGGAUGAGCGACUGGCGCGAGGUGAACGAGGUGGUGAUGAGGGCGCCCACGCUGGUCGCCUUCGUGCUGCAGCUGCGCCUCCUUCAGCUCGUGUGGUCCGGCCGCCGGAGGUCGGCGGACCAGAGCAAGUCCGCCACGCCGUCGCCCGUCGUGUCCGAGAGGAUCGUGCUGCAGAUAUGCCUGCCGCUGUACGUGCUCGGAGGAGCCCUGGCCGCGGCCGUCCACGUGAUCAACGUCCGCGCCGCGAGCGAGGAGCCGCUCGUGGUGCGCAUCGCCGGAGAGCCGGCCACGAUCUGGGAGGACCUCGUGUCGUACGGCGGUCUGAUACUGGACGGCUUCCUGCUCCCUCAGAUCAUCCUGAACGCGUCCUUGGCGGGCUCCGGAGUGCGAGCGAUCUCGCCGUGGUUCUACGCGGGGGUCACCAUGACCCGGGUGAUGCCUCACGUGUACGACGUGGUGAGGCGGCAGAUCUACGAGCCGAGCAUGAGCUCCUCCGACCUGUACGCUAGCCCGCGGGGCGACCUCUUCGGCGUCGCGUGGGACAUCAUCAUACCGUGCGGAGCGGGAGUGCUGGCCGUGCUGGUCUUCUUGCAGCAGCGGCUUGGAGGCAGCGCGGUUCUUCCUUCACAGAGGAGGAGAUCAGGUGGGUAUGAGAUGGUCUCCAGCAUCUAA
rnacentral:rRNA from 1 species